AAUUAUAUGAUGAGGAACUGCAGAGAG
rnacentral:piRNA from 1 species